GCAGCUUCAGCCCAGGCAAGAGGGUCUGAACCUGUGAGGACCUAGGAGUUUAGGAGUGGGCCUGGCAGAAGUGGCUCUCCAUGGGCACCCUUGACUGUUCACUUACCCACCAGGAAUGAGAAUAGAACUUGGGGAACUCACACAGGCCUGGCCAGUACCCAUCCUCAGCUAUGGCUCCAGAGAAGGAAACAGGUUUACACCAGAGAAAGAUGAGGGGUGAAUACUUUGAAAGUAGCCAGUGGGAUGAAGCUUCCAGGUCGAUACUAGCUUGAUCUCCCAAGUCCUUUGAAUUCUGGAGGUGACCAAGAGCAAUGAACCUUUAAUGUUUGUGUGUGGGGUAGGGUCUAGAAUAACUUCAUUUAAACUCUUUUUAUCUAUCUAAACUCUUUUUAUCUAUCUAUGUAUAUACACAUACCUAUGCAUAUAUGUACAUGCUAUUCCACAGUAAUAUGUUUCCAUAUG
rnacentral:lncRNA from 1 species